GGAGAGGUGUCAGAGUGGUCGAAUGUGCCGCUUUCGAAAAGCGGUGUCUCGCAAGGGACCGCGGGUUCGAAUCCCGCCCUCUCCG
rnacentral:tRNA from 4 species